rnacentral:rRNA from 1 species
CGGCACGGGUGAGUAACGCGUGGAUAAUCUACCCUUAAGAUGGGGAGUAACGGCUGGAAACGGUCGCUAAUACCGAAUACGCUCCCGAUUUUAUCGUUGGGGGGAAAGGAUGGCCUCUGCUUGCAAGCUAUCGCUUAAGGAUGAGUCCGCGUCCCAUUAGCUAGUUGGCGGGGUAACGGCCCACCAAGGCAACGAUGGGUAGCCGGUCUGAGAGGAUGACCGGCCACACUGGAACUGGAACACGGUCCAG